rnacentral:lncRNA from 1 species
GGGACAGCAGUGGUACCCACGUGGCUCACUGCACCAUCCCUAUCAAUGGAGUUAAAUUCCCAGAACCUCCUUGGUGGUCAGCUUCUGAUGGUCUCAAACACUUAACAAAUAUUCCCAUACCGCCUACCUCAUUUAAGAUGCUGUGCUAAAUAAUGUUUCCACAGUGCAAGGAGGAACCUCCAGAAAGUUCUCUGUGGCUAAAGCAUGCCUUUGAAAUGCAAGACACACAAAGCUUCAUUUUUGAUUGAUAGGCAAGAUACGGGUUUGGGAAAGACCCUGGAGUACCUGCUGUCCACACCGUCCCUCAACUCACCCCUUCCCUGGACAGAUUCUACCUGGCAUGCUUUGCCCCCAAAGCUCUCCCUCUUCCCAGAGUGAUGCACAGAUCAGAACCACCAACGGCAGAAGGUCUGGGAAGCCUGAGGAGUGGUAAGACUGGAAACGUGCAAAGUUAUUCACAGACGCUGGAAUCUUGAGCUCUUCAAUGCCUAACGAACAGUUAUGUAACCUGCAGGAGCUGAAUUCUUGGUGACGGAGCCAGCAAGAUCCUUCCUGGGGAAAACAAUUUACUUGAUACACAGUGUUUAGAAUGAAAAAAAAAAAAAAAAGAAA